UACGUAGGGACCAAGCGUUGUCCGGAAUCAUUGGGCGUAAAGCGCGCGUAGGUGGCCAUUUAAGUCCGCUGUGAAAGUCAGAGGCUCAACCUUUGAAAGCCGGUGGAUACUGGAUGGCUAGAGUACGGAAGAGGCGAGUGGAAUUCCUGGUGUAGCGGUGGAAUGCGCAGAUAUCAGGAGGAACACCAAUUGCGAAGGCAGCUCGCUGGGACGUCACUGACGCUGAGACGCGAAAGCGUGGGGAGCAAACAGG
rnacentral:rRNA from 1 species